GAGGUGGGGCGGUGGCGUCCCACGCACUUUGCGGCAGUGGGCGGGGCUCUGUUGCCUGAGUAACCGGAUGAUGGUGUUGGUGGUGGUGUCUUCCUGUCUCUACGAUAUGUUUUUUCUAGUGCUGAGAUCCUGAAACAAUGAAUCAUAGUGAGAGAUUCGUUUUCAUUGCAGAGUGGUAUGAUCCAAAUGCUUCACUUCUUCGACGUUAUGAGCUUUUAUUUUACCCAGGGGAUGGAUCUGUUGAAAUGCAUGAUGUAAAGAAUCAUCGUACCUUUUUAAAGCGGACCAAAUAUGAUAACCUGCACUUGGAAGAUUUAUUUAUAGGCAACAAAGUGAAUGUCUUUUCUCGACAGUUGGUAUUAAUUGACUAUGGAGAUCAAUAUACAGCUCGCCAGCUGGGAAGUAGGAAAGAAAAAACGCUAGCCCUAAUUAAACCAGAUGCAAUAUCAAAGGCUGGAGAAAUAAUUGAAAUAAUAAACAAAGCUGGAUUUACUAUAACGAAACUCAAAAUGAUGAUGCUUUCAAGGAAAGAAGCAGUGGAUUUUCACGUAGAUCAUCAAUCAAGGCCCUUUUACAAUGAGCUGAUCCAGUUUAUUACAACUGGUCCUAUUAUUGCCAUGGAAAUUUUAAGAGAUGAUGCUAUAUGUGAAUGGAAAAGACUACUGGGACCUGCAAACUCUGGGGUGGCACGCACAGAUGCUUCUGGAAGCAUUAGAGCCGUCUUUGGAACAGAUGGCAUAAGAAAUGCAGCACAUGGCCCUGAUUCUUUUGCUUCUGCUGCCAGAGAAAUGGAGUUGUUUUUUCCUUCAAGUGGAGGUUGUGGGCCGGCAAACACUGCUAAAUUUACCAAUUGUACUUGUUGUAUUGUUAAACCCCACGCUGUCAGUGAAGGACUUUUGGGAAAGAUCCUAAUGGCUAUCCGAGAUGCAGGUUUUGAAAUCUCAGCUAUGCAGAUGUUCAAUAUGGAUCGGGUUAAUGUUGAAGAAUUCUAUGAAGUUUAUAAAGGAGUAGUGACUGAAUAUCAUGACAUGGUGACAGAAAUGUAUUCUGGCCCUUGUGUAGCAAUGGAGAUUCAACAGAAUAAUGCUACAAAGACAUUUCGAGAAUUUUGUGGACCUGCUGAUCCUGAAAUUGCCCGGCAUUUACGCCCCGGAACUCUCAGAGCAAUCUUCGGCAAAACUAAGAUCCAGAAUGCUGUUCACUGUACUGAUCUGCCAGAGGAUGGCCUAUUAGAGAAUUCUGCUUCUUAGAAUCUAAGCAAAGGAAGAGAGUGGCAGCAGGACUACAAGAUGGAAAGUUAUCUGCACAGAUGUUCAUGGAAAGAGUAUUUGUGGUCAUUAAAAAUGGAAAUAAUAUGCAUGUCUAUGGAUACAUCCUGCCUUCCCCCAUCUAAGAAAGCUUCCAUGGCACCCAGUCUGCAUCAGUCCAUAUGAGUGUUUUUCAUAGCGCUUUGCCUUCCUGUACUGUAGUGGUGUAGCCGAGCCAAAAUAGCUCUAUACACCUGGGCAAGUUACUCAUCUCACCAUGCGUAGUGUCCUCACUCUGUAAAAUGAGGAUAACAGUACCUACCCUAUCAAAUAGCAUUGUGCCUAGCAAAUAGUAGUUGCUCAACAAAUGAUAAUGGUUAUAUUAUUAUUACUAUUACAGUAUAGUGUGUUUGCUCAUGUGAGACUGUGAGUUCACGUAGGGAAGAGAUAUUUUUCUUGCCUGAUAUAUAAAAGCUAUUCAAUAAGUGGUUUUUGAAAGUAAGAAAAGGGAAGCGUUUAGUUACAUAAAUUAUGCUUUUUGCACUCAGUGAAAAAAGUAUGUCACCUUUCUUCUUUGGUGUUGAUAAUGAAGACUCUGUAAUAGUGUUUCCUAGCCUUUGUUGCACAUUAGAAUCACUUAGCCAGUUUUUAAAAUACUGAUGUCCCGACUCACCCCCACAGAUUCUAAUUUUUUUUUUGAGAUGGAGUCUCACUCUGUCACCCAGGCUGGAGUGCAGUGGUGCGAUCUCGGCUCACUGCAACCUCUUCAUCCUAGGUUCAAGUGAUUCUCCUGCCUCAGCCUACCGAGUAGCUGGGACUACAGGUGCGUGCCACCACGCCCAGCCAGGAUGGUGCCAAUCUCCUGACCUUGUGAUCCACCCACCUUGGCUUCCCAAAAUGCUGAGAUUACAAGUGUGAGCCACUUUUAAAACAAUUUUAAACUUUUAGAAAAGUUGCAGGUACAAUACAAUAAAUUUUUUUUACGAACAUUUGAGAGUAAGUCACCACAUGAUGGGCAUACUUCUGAAUGCUUUAGUGUGUAUUUUUAACAUAAAAGAGCAUUUUUUAAUGUAAUCAUAUUACAAGCUUCCAAGUAAGGAAAUUAACAUUGAUUUAUUACUACCAUCUAAUCCUUAGACUCCAUUCAGAUUUCACCAAUUGUCUCAACAAGGUUCUUUGAUAGCAAAAGGAUCCAGGUGGGGACCGUGCAUUGCAUUUAGUUUUCUCCUUAGUCUCUUUUAAUCUAGAUCAGUGUCUACAUUUUUCCUUGACUUUCAUUACCUUAACACCUUAAAGAUAACAAGCAGAGAUUCUGAUUCAAUUGAUCCAUUUAUCCCUUUGCUCAUCAGAAAUUUUUCUAGAUGGCUUCCACCUACAGUUCUAACAAGAUACUGAAAAAUUUAUUUUGCUGUAUGGCAUAUGUUACUCACAGGAGAAGUCAUUUGUUGGCUCCCCAUUGUCUGUGAAAGUGAAUAAUGCUUUUGUGGUGUUAUGACUCAACCUCGAGUAUGCCUCCCCUCUUCUCCACUUCAGUGUUAGUUGUCAUCUCACCCAUGUCACCAAUGAUACUUCUGAAAGUCAGUUUUACUUUCUCCUCACUUCAUCUUACCCCAGAAUUUGUUGAAAAACGUAUCUUUGGGAAUCAUUGUAUGAGGGGAAAAAAUAUCUACCUAUUUGCCUUUUACUUUACCUCUAUACCUGUGGUCUUUUCCAAGGACCUUCUUUUUCUUAUUUUCUCAUACAGGAACAAUCAAAACUUUGCACUUACUGAAAUUGAAAACCUCAAUGUUGAUGAAUGGGUAUAUGGUAGAAAAUUCAAGAAUGUUUGAAUUUUAAUUCUGUAUACCAAAAUGAUAGGUCCUUUAUUAUUAUUAUUAUUAUUUUGAGACAGGGUCUCAUUCUGUCUCCCAGGCUGGAUUGCAGAAUUGUGAUCAUGGCUCACUGCAGCCUUCACCUCCUGGGCUCAAGCAGUCCUCCAGCCUCAGCCUCCCGAGAGGCUGGGACUAUAGGCUGUGCCACCAUGUCCAGAUAAUAUUUUUUUUGUAAAGAUGGGGUCUCAUCAUAUUGCCCAGGCUGGUCUUCAACUCCUGGGUUCAAGCAAUCCUCCAGCCUCAGCCUCCCAACUUGCUGGGAUUACAGGUUCAAUACUUCUUCAAGAUUUUGGAUAACUAGUGGUGUGGAAAGUACAGAAAUCACAGGUUGGGACAUUUAGACAAGAGUGAAUCACACACAUGAGGAAUGUGUUCAUUCUUUUAUUGUCCAUUGUUUUAACCUGACUGAAUACAAGAUCAACAAGA